AGACAGGGUGUCAGUCUGUUGCCCAGGCUGCAGUGCAGUGGUGCCAUUAGCUCACUGCAGCCUCGACCUCCCAGACUCAAGCAAUCCUUCCACCUCAGCUUCCUGAGUAGCUGGGACCACAGGUGCACACCACCACACCUAACUAAUUUUAUUUUUUAUUUUUAUUUUUGUAGAGAUGGGGGUCUCACUGUGUUGCCCAGGCUGGUCUGGAGCUCCUGAGCUCAAGCGAUCCUCCCACCUUGGCCUCCCAAAGUGCUGGGAUUACAGGUAUGAAUCACCAUGCCUGGCCCCAAUUGCAAGAUUUUAUUAAAAUUUUUAUAUGUCAAAAUUUUAGAGGUUAAAAGACCCUCUUGAGGAAGCUAAACAAAGUGCAGAGAGGUACAAAGCUGAACUCCAUCCACUCAGAAAGAAAGCACUGCCCGGCAGAAGAUGCUGGAGUAGUUACAACAGGAAGCUCCAUGCCAGCAGGAGCAGCCUCUGCGUGAGAACUCCCUGGAGCGUCUAUUCCAGAAGCUCUGCCUUACAGAGGGGAUGAUGUAAAGUUGUGAGCAGUUUCAGCUGUAGGCAGCAGAAACUUGGCCCAGCAACAGAGAGAGAAGAUAAAAUGUCAGAGGAGAGAGAGGACAGAUGUCACCCAGACAAAUUCUUUCUUAAUAAGGGUUGAAAAAGGAGGCGGCUAGUUCCCAUGCAGUGUGAGCCAUGGGAGGUGGGCAGAAUCACAGCACACUGCACAAGGCAGAGGCAAGACAUGAGAAUGAAUGCAAGCCCUUGCUGGGAGCCUCCGUGACCCCGUCAGCCGCAGGCCGGGGCUCUGCCACAGAGGCAAACUGCACAUGGACGUGUGAUGUCUGCAUGGGCUGCACGGACCCUCACACGCCCACUCCAUGGCUCCAUCACAGCCUCUGCAAAGACCUCCUCUUGCUCUGCCUUCUCUUAUUAGUUUCCUGGGCUGCGAUAACAACUUAGUGACUUAAAAGAACAGACUAGUUUUCUGUCACAGUCUGGAGUCCGGAAGUCUGAAGUUAAGGUGUCAGCAGGGCUGCACUUUCUCCAGAGCCUCUAGGGCAGAACCCAUGCCUUGACCCUUGGAACCUAUGGUGGCUGCUGCUGUUCCUGGGCUUGUGGCUGCCCACCCCAAAGUCUUCUCCCACCAUCACGUGGCCUUCCAACUGUGUGUGUCUAAUCUCCCACUGCCUCUCUCAGGAUGGCAUUCAAGGCCCACCCAGAUAAUCCAGGAUGACCCUCACCUGAUGAUCCUUAAAUCACACCUGCAAAGACCCUUUUUCCAAAUAAGGUUACAGUCACAGAUUCCAGGAAGAGAACAUGGACACACUUUGUCGGGGGGGGGCAUUUUUCAGCCCACUACACCUCUCAAUCUUUCUCCUUUUGUGCCCCUGAUCACCAACCCAGCCAUCAGCCACUGCCCAUCAGUUUCAUGUAUACUCUAACCUCAGUCCACUUCUUUCCACACAGUGAAUGACCAGUGUUCUGUCAGAAUUUCUGCCAUUAAGAGGACUUUCCCCACCACUGUGCUUCAGGGCCGUCCCAUGGCGGGCUGUGCAGCAGCAUUUGGAACUUACACCCACCUGUCAAGCCAUGACCCAAGUUUGGCCCCUUUACUCCCACCCCAGUUCUAAGCUGAGUGAGAGAGGGACCCAAUGCAACCUUAGCAGACAACAUGAGGCCUGGGCCACCUGCUUGUGCAACUCCUGGGUGCCAUGUGGCCCUGCUCUGGCCCAGAAUGGGAUGUGCCAUCACCAUCGUACUGUGAGUGGCUGUUGGGCCCACCAUUGACUGUAUAACUUGGGUUCUGGCUGAACCCAGCUCAGGGUGGGCAGUUCUGGCUGCAGAGUCACUUGAUGUCUCUUGCUUGGUGCUCUGUUUCCAUCAGGGCCCAGUAGCAUGCUGGGUGCUUUUCUGGUUUGGUUCGGUUUUUUGGGUGAUAUGUAAUUCUCAGUUACAGAUGGUGUGGUCUUAAUCCAGAACCCUAAGUGUCUGUAUUUGCGAUUCUCCCAUGGGAACCUACCAUAAACUCCAAAUUCCCCCUUUUCUCUCAUAGAUACCUCAAAUACAGUAAGGUCUGCUGGAUCUUAUGAUGCAAGGAGCAGGCUGGCUGACUCACCUCCUGAACUUAACCCGGUGAAACCCUGUCUCCACUAAAAGCAAUUAGCCAGGGCUACAGAGCCCUCUCCAGUUCUGGGCCCAAAGCCCAGCUCAAUCUGGAGCAGCAUGCCCCUACAUGGGGUUUGCUACCUUUAAACCCAAGGGAGCCUACUAAGCACUGUGCUUUAUUCUUAUUGGUGGGAUAUAUGAGAUGUAAUGAUUUAUCUUUCACUUUGGAGGGAAUGUCCCAGAACCCUGGAUCCUUGAAGUUUCCACUAAUGUGUUUAGCAGGUUGGAAGAUACAAGGUCAAUAUAUAAAAAUCAAUUAGGUAUACAAAAAUUAACUCAAAGUGCAUUCAGAGGCCAAGCAGGGAGAAUUGCUUGAGACCAGGAGAUCUAGACCAGCUUGGGCAACAUAGUGAGAUCUCAUCUCUACAAAAAGUUUUAAAGUUAGCCAUUAGUAGUGGCUUCUCCCACCUCAACCUCCUGAAUAACCUGUAGUUCUAGCUACUUGAGAGGUUGAGGCAAGAAAAUCCCUAGAGCCCAAGAGUUGAAGGUUAUAGUUAGCUAUGAUCAUGCCACUACACUCUAGCCUGGGUGACAGAGCAAGACUCUGUCCAAAAAAAAAAAGUUAAUUCAAAAUGGAUCAUAAACCUAGACACAGUUUUAGUGUUAGCUAAAACUAUGAGACUUACAUAGCAUGGGUUAAUCUCAGCUGAUCCAGAUUAACCACAUUGUGAUGGUUAAUUUUAGGCGCUGACGCAACUGGAUUAAGAAAUACUGGCCAGGCUCGGUGGCUCAUGCCUGUAAUCCCCCAGCACUUUGGGAGGCCAACGCAGGCACAUGGUGAGGUAAGGAGAUGGAGACCAUCCCGGCUAACCCGGUGAAACACUGUCUCUACUAAAAACACAAUUAGCCAGGAGUGGUGGCACAUGCCUGUAGUCUCAGCUACUCGGGAGGCUAAAACAGGAGAAUUCCUUGAACCCAGGAGGCAGAGGUUGCAGUGAGCCAAGAUUGCACCAUUGCACUCCAGCAUGAGCAACAGAGUGAGACUCCAUCUCAAAAAAAAAAGAGAGGGCCGGGCGCGGUGGCUCAAGCUUGUAAUCCCAGCACUUUGGGAGGCUGAGGUGGGUGGAUCACAAGGUCAAGAGAUCGAGACCAUCCUGGGCAACAUGGUGAAACCCCAUCUCUACUAAAAAUGCAAAAAAUCAGCUGGGCCUGGUGGCGCGUGCCUGUAAUCCCAGCUACUCAGGAGGCUGAGGCAGGAGAAUUGCCUGAACCCAGGAGACGUAGGUUGUGGUUAGUUGAGAUCGCGCCACUGCACUCCAGCCUGAGUAACAAGAGUGAAACUCCAUCUCAAAAAAAAAAAAAACAAAAAAAACCCAGCAACCACACUCUUAGACAUUUAUCACAGAGAAAUGAAAACAGUGUUCACACCAACACCUGGUUACAAAUGUCCACAUCAGCAUUAUUCACGAUUGCCAAAAAAGUGGAAAAACACAAAUACUCUUCAAUAGGUGAAUGGUUAAAGAAACUUUGGUACCCCCAUACCAUGGAAUACUACUCAGCAGUAAAAAGGAAUUGACAAUUGAUAAUUGAUACAUUCAGUAAUUUGGAUGGAUCUCAAGCAAAUUAUGCUCAGUGAAAAAAUGUGAGUUCAAAAGGCCACAUACUGUAUGAUUCCAUUUACAUAACUUUUUUCUUUUAGAGACGGAGUUUUGCUCUUGUUUCCCAGGCUGGAGUGCAAUGGAGCUAUGUCAGUUUACUGCAACCUCCACAUCCCGGGUUCAAGCAAUUCUUCUGCUUCAGCCUCCCAGGUAGCUGGGAUUACAGAUAUGAGCCACCGUGCCCGGCUAAUUUUGUAUCCUUAGUAGAGACAGGGUUUUUCCAUUGUUGGUCAUGCUGGUCUCGAACUCCCGACCUCAAGAAAUCCACUUGCCUUGGCCUCCCAACAUGCUAGGAUUACAGGCCUGAGCCACCGUGCCUGGCAACAUUCUUUUGUUGAUGGACAUUUGAGUUGUUUCCAGUUUCUAUUACCAAUAAAAUGUCUAUACAUAUUACUUUACAAGUCUUCUGUAGAUAUAUGUUUUCAUGAAACCUGGGUAAACCUACAAGUGAAGUGACUAUGUCAUAUGGCUGGUUUAACUUUUUUCUUUUUAGAAACAGGGUCUCUCUGGCCGGGUAUGGUGGCUCGUGUCUGUAAUCCCAGCACUUUGGGAGGCCAAGGAAGGCAGAUCACCUGAGGUCAGGAGUUUGAGACCAGCCUGGCCAACAUGGUGAAACUCUGUCUCUACUAAAAUACAAAAAUCAGCUGGGCAUGGUGUAAUCCCAGCUACUUGGGAGGCUGAGGCAGGAAAAUCGUUUGAACCCGGGAGGCUGAGGUUGCAGUGAGUGGAGAUCGUGCCAUUGCACUCCAGCCUGGAUAACAGAGCUAGCUCAGUCUCCAAAAAAAAGAAGAAGCAGGGUCUCACCAUGUUGCCCAGGCUGGUCUCUAACUCCUGGACUCAAGCCAUCCACUGGCCUCCACCUCCCAAAGUAUUAGGAUUACAGGUGUGGGCCACUGCCCUUGGCUGUGCGUUUAGCUUUGGCUUUAUAAGAACCUGCCAAACUGUCUUCAGAGUGUUUGCACCAUUUCACAUUCCCACCAGCAGGGCAUGAAUGUCCCCGUUUCUUCACACCCUCACUACCACUUGGCAUGGUAAGUCUCUGGUUAUAGCCAUCCUAGUGGGUGUCGUGGUGUCUCUCCAUGGUUUCAAUGAGUGUUUCCCUAAUGACUAAUGAUGUUGAGCAUCUUUUCCUGUGCAAUUUGCCAUCAGUUUAGCUUCUUUGCUGAGGUGAUUAUCCAAAUCUUUUACCCAUUCUUUUUAAAAAACAGAAACAAAAAUACUACAGCACAAGUGGCUGUUCACAGCCUUCCCCUUCCCUGUGUCCUGAGGAUGUGAGAGUGUUUGCUGCUUCUUAUGGGCCCCUUGCUGUGGGAGUGGGCAGAGAUGGGAAGAGCCCAGGCUGAUCCGCAUUAGAACAGACCCGGGAGUGCUUGUGGGAAAUCCAAGAGUCCUGUUGGAGGGGAUAGGAGGGGAGAGGAAGAGAGGGCUGGAAGCUUAGGGGGAGGGGGCAGAUGGGGAGAGAAGAGGAGAUACUGGAGGAUCUGCUGCUUCAUGGCUCAGCUUUGGUCGGCGGUGAGAAGGAUGAUGUCAGGCUUUGCAUGAUGAGUUGGGAGCCUCCUCUCCAGAGUCCUCCCGAGAAAAUCUGAAGCAAGCUCUCCAUGGCUGCUCAGGGAUUUGGACCUGCAUUACUUUAGAGAGAAAGAAAGAGAAAAAAAGGAAUGAAGAAGAGGAAAAAGGAGGAAGAGGAGGAGGGAGAGAGAACAAGAGUGUUGCUUAAUUGCCCAGGCUAGAAUGCAGUCUAAAAAUGGGUAUUGAAAACCUCCCUUAUACCAUCAAUUGUGCUUAAUAAUGGCCAACCAAUAUUUCAUUUAAACCUGUGAGUAGGUGUGAUGCGGUACUGAUAAGAGUGUAUGUCUUGUGUGUUUAAAGUGGAGAGUUCUAUAAAUUUUUAUUAAGUUUACCUGUUCUGGAUCUGAGUUCAAGUCCAGGAUAUCCUUAUUAAUUUUCUGUCUCAUUGAUCUAUCUAAUAUUGAUGUUGAAAUCUCCCACUACUACUGUGUGGGAGUCCAAGUCUCUUUACAAGUCUUAUGUAUCCUGUGUUGGGUGGGUACACAUCCAGGAUCGUCAGCUCUUCUUAUUGCGUUGAUCUUUUUACCAUUAUGUCCUCUUUUGAUCUUUGUCGCUUUAAAAUCCAUUCCAUCAGAGGCGAGAAUUGCAACCUCUUCUUUUUAUUUAUUUAUUUAUUUUUGCUCUGAGCAGUUUUUACACUGAGCAGUUGUAGCUUUAUUCUUGGUGCUGGAUUUUGUGGACCACUGCCUGGGAUAGCAACUGAAGAGCAGCAGUGGAGAGGUGUGGGUGGAGAAGCAUUUUAAAAAUAAUGUAUGUUAAGAAUUUUUAAAUUUGGGCUGGGUACAGUGGCUCAUGCCUGUAAUCCCAGCACUUUGGGAGGCCAAGGCAGGUGGAUCACUUGAGGUCAGGAGUUCAAGACCAACUGGCCAACAUGAUGAAACCCUGUCCCUACUAAAAAUACAAAAAUUAGCCGGGCAUGGUGGUGCUGCCUGUAAUCCCAGCUACACAGGAAACUGAGACAGGAGAACCGCUUGAACCUGGAAGGUGAAGGCUGCAGUGAGCUGAGAUCAGGCUAUUGCACUUCAACCUGGGCAACAAAGCGAGAUUCUGUCUCAAAAAAAUAAGUUUAAAUUUUGAAGUGAUUAUAGAUGCACAGGAAGUUGCAAAAAAAGUUCAAGGAAGUUUUGUGUACCCAGUUUCCCCCAAUGAUAACAUCUUUCCUAACUAUGGUUUAGUAUCAAAGCCAGGACGUUGAUGUUGGUACAGUCCUUAGAGCUGGUUUGUACUUCAUCGGUGUUACAUGCACUCUCUUGUGUGUGUUGUAUGUAUGCGUGUGAAUAGUUCAGUGCAAUUUUGUCACAUGUGGAGGUUCAUGUAACCAGCACCACAGUCAAGAUACAGAACAAUUACCACCGUGGAAGUCCCUCAUGCUACCCCUUUACCUAUGUCCACCCCCUCCUUCUCUGCCCCUAAACCCUGAUAACUGCUAAACUGAUUUCCAUCUGCCUAUUUCGUCAUUUCAAAAAUGUUGUAUAGGCCAGGCAUGGUGGCUCACUCCUGUAAUCCCAGCACUUUGGGAGGCCGAGAUGGGCAGAUCAUGAGGUCAGAAGAUAGAGACCAUCCUGGAAAACUUGGUGAAAUCCUGUCUCUACUAAAAAUACAAAAAUUAGCUGGAUGUGGUGGCUCAUGCCUGUAGUCCCAGCUACUCAGGAGGCUGAGGCAGGAGAAUCACUUGAACCCAGGAAGUGGAGUUUGCAGUGAGCUGAGAUCAUGCCACUGCACUCCAGUAUGGUAACAGAGCUUGACUUCAUCUCAAAGAAAAAAGAAAGUUAUAUCAAUGAAAUCAUAUAGUAUGUGGCCUUUUGAACUGGCUUUUUUCUCACUGAGCAUAAUUUGCUUGAGAUCCAUCCAAGUUGUUGAAAGUAUUGAUUAUCAAUUGUCAGUUCUUUUUUAUUGCUAAGUAAUACUCCAUGGUAUGGGGAUACCAAAGUUUCUUUCCUGUCAAUUAUACCUCUAUUAAGUUAUAACAAUAAAAGCCUUCACUAAUGAA